UUAAUACUCCCUCCGUCCGGAAAUACUUGUCAUUCAAAUGGAUGUAUCUAGAUGUACUUUAGUUCUAGAUACAUCCAUUUUCAUCCAUUUUGAUGACAAGUAAUUCCGGACGGAGGGAGUAACAA
rnacentral:pre_miRNA from 1 species